rfam:Thermoanaerobacter tengcongensis MB4, complete genome.
AGUUAAAACAUGCCGAAUCCCCGAUAAGGGGUACGGGGGAUGUAAAUUUGGGGUGAAUCCACGUAUUGUGGUAGGGUGGCCCUCACCCGAACCCGUCAACUAACCUCGGAGGCAAAGGGGGUAAAUCA